GAAGGGGCGUUGCUUUUUGUCUUUUUUUUCGUUGUUUGUUUUUUUAUUUUUUCAUUUCAUGUUUUGAGUUCUUUCGCAUUAUGCCCGCCUUCGCUUCAGCGGGGGGUGACUAGGUGUAUUCGAAAGGCUCAUAGUUUUUUGUAUUGUGUUAUUUUGGUUUGGGUUGGUUUGAUUUCCUUUAUAAUUUUUUUCAUUUAUGUUCUACUGCUCGUUUAUGCCCUCUCUUCCUUUUCUUAGGGAAAGGAAGUAGAUUGGGUUAACGGGGUGCAUGUAUGUAGGUACGCACGCACGUAUGUACUGUACGUAUGUAUGCACGUAUGCUCGCGCGUUUCAUUUUUUUUUUUUUUUUAACAUCAUGUAAGUUUAGCUUUUGUUGGAGUACAGGAGGCGGGGAGAGGGAGGCACAAACGGAAUUUUUCAUGA
rnacentral:sRNA from 1 species